rnacentral:rRNA from 1 species
AACGAACGCUGGCGGCAUGCCUAACACAUGCAAGUCGAACGAGACCUUCGGGUCUAGUGGCGCACGGGUGCGUAACGCGUGGGAACCUGCCUUUAGGUUCGGAAUAACUCAGAGAAAUUUGAGCUAAUACCGGAUGAUGUCUUCGGACCAAAGAUUUAUCGCCUUUAGAUGGGCCCGCGUUGGAUUAGCUAGUUGGUGGGGUAAAGGCCUACCAAGGCGACGAUCCAUAGCUGGUCUGAGAGGAUGAUCAGCCACACUGGGACUGAGACACGGCCCAGACUCCUACGGGAGGCAGCAGUGGGGAAUAUUGGACAAUGGGCGAAAGCCUGAUCCAGCAAUGCCGCGUGAGUGAUGAAGGCCUUAGGGUUGUAAAGCUCUUUUACCCGAGAUGAUAAUGACAGUAUCGGGAGAAUAAGCUCCGGCUAACUCCAUG